UUCCAAGGCUAGGUCAUAAAAGACAUUGUGGCUUCUACCCUACUCUCUGUUGAAUCACUCAUUCUGAGGGAAGUCAGUUGCCAUGUCAUGAGGUCAUGUAAGCAGCCAGUGGAGAAGUCCAUGUGGAAAAGUCCAUGUAGUGAGAAACUGAGGCCUCCUGUCGACAGCCAGCAUGAACUCAUUAUGCAUAUGAGAGUGAAACAUCAUGGAAGUGGAUCCUCUAGCCCCAGAUGAAAUGUUGAGCUGGUUGGCUCCUGUCACAUGGUAUAGAGCAGAGUCCAUUUGCAAUACACAAGAAGAGAAGCAUAACAUCAACCUGGUGACAAAUAGAGAUUGUGUGUUGACUACAGUCUGAAGAAACUUUGUCCUUGAUGAUUUCUUCCCUACUGGACUAACCAUUGAGACAGUGAGUUCAUCAUUACUGGUCUUUGUACACUCAGAGCCUGGUAACAUUAUGGUCAUGUAAUGUCUGUUGAAUGAAAAAUGAAUGAAUAAAUGAACAUGCCUCUAUCUGGGAUAAUAGCAUACUUCACCUAAAGAAAGGAAACUCAAACAAAUAACCCUUUGAGGAGUCAGAGAGAUCAAAUGGAAAAUUUAUCAGGCAGAGAACCAGAAGCCCUGGAUUCCACUCCUUACUUUAUCACUAGGAGCCGCCUUCAGAUGCUGGGGACUGGGUGACAGGAGGGUGAAGAUGUACCGAACAGCAGAGUCUUGAAAUAUGAAACAGCCUUUCUGGAUGAAAGGUCAGAACUCAGAGAACGAAAGAAAAUGCAGGAUGAAAUGAUAUGAAAGAGGGAGGCUAGGGGAUGGCCUGGCAGAAAAAUAAGCACAGGGAGAGGAACACAGGAAGUGAGGCUGAGAGGUGCUGAUAAGGGCAUGGGGCUUGGCUGAGGAGAACGAUGAAGGCACCUGGUGUUCCUGAUGGGCAGAGCUGCGGGAGGCAGGUGGCCACGCUGAGGAGACUGGCCCACCAGUACAGCAAUUCCCGCUGAAACUGGGAACUGGAUGGACAAGCCUGCUGCCCUAAGAACAGUGGUGGUUAAAAGAGAGAGCUCAGCCUGGGCCUGAUAGGAGAAGAAGGGAGACUUAAGAAAACAACCACCCCACAGCUCCAAAAGGAGGAGCUUGCAGACUGAAAGAGAAGCGAUGACAGACAGUGCCUGGAAUGGACCGUUUAAUGCUUUAAACCUGUGCCAAACUAACUGAGUAA